rnacentral:rRNA from 1 species
GACGAACGCCGUCGGCGUGCUUAACACAUGCAAGUCGAACGGAAAGGCCCUGCUUUUGUGGGGUGCUCGAGUGGCGAACGGGUGAGUAACACGUGAGUAACCUGCCCUUGACUUUGGGAUAACUUCAGGAAACUGGGGCUAAUACCGGAUAGGAGCUCCUGCUGCAUGGUGGGGGUUGGAAAGUUUCGGCGGUUGGGGAUGGACUCGCGGCUUAUCAGCUUGUUGGUGGGGUAGUGGCUUACCAAGGCUUUGACGGGUAGCCGGCCUGAGAGGGUGACCGGCCACAUUGGGACUGAGAUACGGCCCAGACUCCUACGGGAGGCAGCAGUGGGGAAUAUUGCACAAUGGGCGGAAGCCUGAUGCAGCGACGCCGCGUGCGGGAUGACGGCCUUCGGGUUGUAAACCGCUUUCGCCUGUGACGAAGCGUGAGUGACGGUAAUGGGUAAAGAAGCACCGGCUAACUACGUGCCAGCAGCCGCGGUGAUACGUAGGGUGCGAGCGUUGUCCGGAUUUAUUGGGCGUAAAGGGCUCGUAGGUGGUUGAUCGCGUCGGAAGUGUAAUCUUGGGGCUUAACCCUGAGCGUGCUUUCGAUACGGGUUGACUUGAGGAAGGUAGGGGAGAAUGGAAUUCCUGGUGGAGCGGUGGAAUGCGCAGAUAUCAGGAGGAACACCAGUGGCGAAGGCGGUUCUCUGGGCCUUUCCUGACGCUGAGGAGCGAAAGCGUGGGGAGCGAACAGGCUUAGAUACCCUGGUAGUCCACGCUGUAAACGGUGGGUACUAGGUGUGGGGUCCAUUCCACGGGUUCCGUGCCGUAGCUAACGCUUUAAGUACCCCGCCUGGGGGGUACGGCCGCAAGGCUAAAACUCAAAGGAAUUGACGGGGCCCCGCACAAGCGGCGGAGCAUGCGGAUUAACUCGAUGCAACGCGUAGAACCUUACCUGGGUUUGACAUGGAUCGGGAGUGCUCAGAGAUGGGUGUGCCUCUUUUGGGGUCGGUUCACAGGUGGUGCAUGCCUGUCGUCAGCUCGUGUCGUGAGAUGUUGGGUUAAGUCCCGCAACGAGCGCAACCCUUGUUCACUGUUGCCAGCACGUUAUGGUGGGGACUCAGUGGAGACCGCCGGGGUCAACUCGGAGGAAGGUGGGGAUGACGUCAAGUCAUCAUGCCCCUUAUGUCCAGGGCUCCACGCAUGCUACAAUGGCUGGUACAGAGAGUGGCGAGCCUGUGAGGGUGAGCGAAUCUCGGAAAGCCGGUCUCAGUUCGGAUUGGGGUCUGCAACUCGACCUCAUGAAGUCGGAGUCGCUAGUAAUCGCAGAUCAGCAACGCUGCGGUGAAUACGUCCCCGGG